UACAGAGGUCUCAAGCGUUGUUCGGAUUCAUUGGGCGUAAAGGGUGCGUAGGUGGCGCUGUAAGUCGGGUGUGAAAUUUCGGAGCUUAACUCCGAAACUGCAUUCGAUACUGCGGUGCUUGAGGACUGGAGAGGAGACUGGAAUUCAUGGUGUAGCAGUGAAAUGCGUAGAGAUCAUGAGGAAGACCAGUGGCGAAGGCGGGUCUCUGGACAGUUCCGUGACGCUGAGGCAGCGAAGGUCAGGGGAGCAAACGGG
rnacentral:rRNA from 1 species